rnacentral:lncRNA from 1 species
AUCUGGGCUUUUAUUAUAAUAGCUAGAGUAAGCCCAUACAUUGAGCCUGUUAGACACCCAUUAGGUUUGUCUCCCGUCUUCCCCGACGAUGAGAUUUCACCAAAAUUAUGAACGCGUCUAGCUCUUUGUAACGUAUCACCUUCAAUAACUCUGUUCAUUACUCUUAGUUUUCUUUGACUACUCCACUCAGCCCACUUGCAUUCAUUCAACCGAUUCGUUUUACACCAUAACCACCGGCUGAAGCCUCCACUAUAAAUGUCGUACUUUUCUGCGAUGUUUAGUUCAACUCAAACAAGAUCCAAAAUAAUACUCUUUCCUAGCAAUCGAUUUCAAUGGCGGGUUAUCCCCGAUUGAUUGAUUAGAUCUUUCUCAUCACUGAUGCUUGAUUCAUCUCCCUUGUGAUUAUAAAUCCUCACUUUUCAGUAAGGCGAAUUCGAGUGUAGGUAUUCCUUGGGUGAGGUUUCAAGACGUUGCGGUCCGUUCGGUUUGGAGUAUGAAGACAUGAAGUUUUGGUCGUGUUCUGACGGCGCUUUAACAAAUACCUAGGCCGACUCUCCGAGUUCUUAUUCUACGGUGGUAGAGUUUAGAUUUUCAAUCAAUUGGGCGUUUAUAUGCGAAGGUUUCUAAGCAAUGCAAGCGAGUGAAAUAUGAUCUAGAGGCUCAAGCGACGAUUAUUGAAGUUUUUUCAAGCACCAUGGAUGAUGUUCUAGAACUGGAACUAGGAUUACGGUGGUGGUUUGACAAAAGAAAAGGAUUAUGGUGGUGGUUUCGCUGGAAACGAGAUAGCGAUGACAUCACAUCUCGAGAUCUUCAUAGCUUCUCUUAGAUUACACGUGCUGGUCAUUAAAAUUGUUAUUGGGCUGUAAUCUUAAUUUGGGCUUCCUCCUUGCAUUGUAAUAUUUAUUUGCCAGUUUGGGUUUAAUGAAAUGGUAGGCACGUUAGGGGCAUAAUGUUGCAGCUCAAUGUCCC